rnacentral:pre_miRNA from 1 species
AGGAGGAACAUCAUUAUUGGCGGCGGCCAGCUCUGGAGCCCUGGAUUCAGCUCCUGCAGUAACUAGGGAGCUCUCAGUCUGCAGUGCCUGGAGGCUCCGGGGACGG